CCUACGGGAGGCAGCAGUCGAGAAUCAUUCACAAUGGGGGAAACCCUGAUGCUGCGACGCCGCGUGGGGGAAUGAAGGUCUUCGGAUUGUAAACCCCUGUCAUGUGGGAGCAAAUUAAAAAGAUAGUACCACAAGAGGAAGAGACGGCUAACUCUGUGCCAGCAGCCGCGGUAAUACAGAGGUCUCUAGCGUUGUUCGGAAUCACUGGGCGUAAAGCGUGCGUAGGCUGUUUCGUAAGGCGUGUGUUAAAGGCGCGGGCCCAAACCGCGGGAGGCACAUGUUACUGGGAGAGCAGAGGGAUGGAGGGGGAAAGGGAAUUCUCGGUGGAGGAGGGAAAUGGGGAGAUA
rnacentral:rRNA from 1 species